rnacentral:rRNA from 1 species
AGCCGCCGCGGUAACACCGGCAGCUCUAGUGGUAGCUGUUUUAUGGGCCUAAAGCGUUCGUAGCCGGUUGAUAAGUCACUGGUGAAAUCCUGUAGCUUAACUGUGGGAAUUGCUGGUGAUACUGUUGAACUUGAGGUCGGGAGAGGUUAGCGGUACUCCCAGGGUAGAGGUGAAAUUCUGUAAUCCUGGGAGGACCACCUGUGGCGAAGGCGGCUAACUGGAACGAACCUGACGGUGAGGGACGAAAGCUAGGGGCGCGAACCGGAUUAGAUACCCGGGUAGUCCUAGCCGUAAACGAUGCGGACUUGGUGUUGGGAUGGCUUUGAGCCGCUCCGGUGCCGAAGGGAAGCUGUUAAGUCCGCCGCCUGGGAAGUACGGUCGCAAGACUGAAACCUAAAGGAAUUGGCGGGGGAGCACCACAACGCGUGGAGCCUGCGGUUUAAUUGGAUUCAACGCCGGACAUCUCACCAGGAGCGACAGCUGUAUGAUUACCAGGCUGAUGACCUUGUUUGACUAGCUGAGUGGAGGUGCAUGG